GUCCUAAGGUAGCGAAAUUCCUGGUCGGGUAAGUUCCGACCCGCACGAAAGGCGUAACGAUAUGGGCACUGUCUCAACAACAGACUCGGUGAAAUUGUAAUUCCGGUGAAGAUGCCGGAUACCUGCGACAGGGCGGAAAGACCCCAUGGAGCUUUACUGUAGCUUGACAUUGGGUCUUGGUACUACAUGUACAGGAUAGGUGGGAGGCU
rnacentral:rRNA from 1 species